rnacentral:rRNA from 1 species
CGCCUAACACAUGCAAGUCGAACGAAGUAGCAAUACUUAGUGGCAGACGGGUGAGUAACAUGUAGGUAUCUUCCCUUUGGCCUGGAAUAACACGAGGAAACUUGUGCUAAUACCGGAUAAGUCUUUACGGAGAAAGCUUUAUGCACCAUUGGAUGAGCCUGCACUUGAUUAGUUUGUUGGUAGGGUAAUGGCCUACCAAGACUGUGAUCAAUAGCUGAUUUGAGAGGAUGAUCAGCCACAUUGGGACUGAGACACGGCCCAAACUCCUACGGGAGGCAGCAGUGGGGAAUCUUGCACAAUGGAGGAAACUCUGAUGCAGCGAUGCCGCGUGAGUGAAGAAGGCCUUUGGGUUGUAAAGCUCUUUCGUCGGGGAAGAAAAUGACUGUACCCGAAUAAGAAGGUCCGGCUAACUUCGUGCCAGCAGCCGCGGUAAUACGAAGGGACCUAGCGUAGUUCGGAAUUACUGGGCUUAAAGAGUUCGUAGGUGGUUGAAAAAGUUGGUGGUGAAAUCCCAGAGCUUAACUCUGGAACUGCCAUCAAAACUUUUCAGCUAGAGUAUGAUAGAGGAAAGCAGAAUUUCUAGUGUAGAGGUGAAAUUCGUAGAUAUUAGAAAGAAUACCAAUUGCGAAGGCAGCUUUCUGGAUCAUUACUGACACUGAGGAACGAAAGCAUGGGUAGCGAAGAGGAUUAGAUACCCUCGUAGUCCAUGCCGUAAACGAUGUGUGUUAGACGUUGGAAAUUUAUUUUCAGUGUCGCAGUGAAAGCGAUAAACACACCGCCUGGGGAGUACGACC